AUUUAUAUAGUUUAAAUAAAACAUUACAUUUUCAUUGUAAAAAUAAAAAAAAUUUUUUUAUAAAUA
rnacentral:tRNA from 1 species